rnacentral:snoRNA from 1 species
ACCGUGAUGAAACACUCUCAGGCUACACACUGAAACCACUGAUGCAUUUCUGUAAUACUGAUU